rnacentral:rRNA from 1 species
AUGGAUUCCUCCUCACAACUCCUCAACGCUGCAACGGCGGCCAACUCAUCCUUCUACCUGUCCCAAUGGAGAUCACAGGUGAUAAUGGGAGUGGAAUCCUCCUUGCUUGCACAGCAGAGCAGCCUCCUCCGCACGGUCCUCGCAUGCAUCCUCUCCUUCUUGGCAGCGACCAUGUCCAGCGCCGCGGGCGUCGGCGGUGGCUCGCUGUACGUCCCAAUCCUCAACAUCGUGGCCGGGCUGAGCCUCAAGACCUCCGUGGCGUUCUCGACGUUCAUGGUGACCGGCGGCACGCUGUCCAACGUGCUCUACACCCUGCUGGCCCGCGGCCCCGGGCUGAUCGAUUACGAUGUCGCCGUGGUCUCGCAGCCGUGCCUGCUCCUCGGGGUGAGCGUCGGGGUGGUGUGCAACAUCAUGUUCCCUGAGUGGCUCAUCACCGUGCUCUUUGCCGCAUUCCUCUCCUUGGCAACAUUCAAGACAUACGGCACCGGGUUAAAGCGGUGGCCUGCGGAGUCGGCAGCGACGGCCAGGGGGGUGCUUGAGGGAGCGAGCACCAGGGAGGGUGCCGAGGAAGCGCUGCUUAUUGGCCAGAAAGAAGGGGCCGACCAUGGGUAUCACUGGGUGGACUUAGCAGUGCUUUUCUCCGUCUGGCUUUGCUUCUUCGUCAUUCAUCUGUUCAUAGGAGGUGAGGGUGCCAAGGGGGCCUUUGACAUAAAGCCAUGUGGAGUUGCAUACUGGCUCAUCACAGUCGCUCAAAUCCCUGUCGCCGUGGCUUUCACGGCAUGUAUCGUGCACCAAAAAGGAAUAUCGCAGACUCGGAAAAGCCAAGUGGUUGAGCUGGCAACUUCCAUGAAGAGCAGGCUGGACGCUUUGCCGGUGUACGCCUUCCCGGUGGCUGCUCUGCUGACCGGUGUGAUGGGCGGACUCUUCGGCAUUGGAGGAGGACUGCUUCUCAAUCCUGUCUUACUCCACAUUGGAGUGCCCCCAAAAACAGCGUCAGCGACGACAAUGUUCAUGGUCCUCUUCUGCGCCUCCAUGUCGAUGGUCCAGUUUAUAAUCCUGGGAGUUGACGGGAUCCUGGGUGCGUUGGUCUACGCCCUCACCUGCUUUGUGGCUUCCAUCGUUGGGCUGGUCGUGAUAGAAGGGGCCAUCAGGAAGUCAGGCAGGGUUUCACUCAUCGUCCUAAUUGUUGCUGCCAUCUUGGCGCUCAGCGCCAUCGUCAUAGCUUGCUCCGGCGGGGUGCAUGUCUGGGCGCAGUACACCAGUGGGCAGUACAUGGGCUUCAAGCUCCCAUGCUAA